UGCAAUUCACUUGGCGCUGAGUUGUGUGGCGCACCGCAAAUUGCGGUUGAAUCUAUCGCAGCACGUGUUGCAUUCCGCUUAUCAUAUUUGUUGUGCAAUUUGUCAACUUUUACGCAUUUACAUGAUUAGCACUCAAAUCAACUUGCGCUUAAUUAUUCUAAAUAGUAAGUAUUUCAGAGACUUGACGAAAAAGUGCAAAAGUUUAUUAGUAACUGGCCUCACUAAAAGGUUUUAGCUGCUCACCGCUUUCAUUCCAUUGAAGAAAUUGUAAGGUAUUUAGGCAGAAACAUACAUUACAUUUUCAGUGCAAAGCCAACACCAUUCUAAAUUUAAUUCGUUUGAAAAGUAGUUAUAAAAAAGUUAAGAUUUGCCGAGAAAAAUGGAUAAUGGCAAAGAAGGUGGAAAGAUUGAUUAUCGGAAACAUUUAGAAUAGUAUUAAUAAAACAUUAGAAGAGUGUUAAUAAAAAACAUUCAAAUUAAAUUUGUAGCGAGAGCCGUGCAGUUUCAGCGUUUGACGAUCUGGAAAAAAUUCAGCUUUUUGUAGAAAAAUGCAUACAAAGCUGCUGUAACAGAUAACAGGGCGGCAUAACUUGACUCAACUGGAAUAAGAAAAAUAAUUCUCACAGAUGGAUGAGCGUUUCAACAUACAGUAGAUCGGUUAAGACGGGGAUUGGAAAAUGGUCUGGGAGUAAUUUUCGCUUACUCAAGUACCAAUGGAAGAAGAGAAAAAAUUGAUAAUUUCGCAAGCAGAUGACCGCAUUUUCCCACACGACUCUGUGCGCUCGUGGUGUCAUCAGAAACAGCAGACUUUAUGCCAAAAGCUUGAUUGUGCAAAUUUUGGAAUUUCGAGUUAACGAUUAACCUUUGAAUGAAGUGUUAUACCCAAAAUUCAGAAUACAAUGCGUACAAGGAAGCCAGAUAUAAUUUUUUAUAUCAGCCUUUAGCUAUCGUC